GACAGAGGGUGCAAACGUUGUUCGGAAUUACUGGGCGUAAAGCGCGUGUAGGCAGUUCUGCAAGUCGGCUGUGAAAGCCCUGGGCUCAACCUAGGAAGUGCACUCGAAACUGCAGAACUGGAGUCCUGGAGAGGAAGGCGGAAUUCUCGGUGUAGAGGUGAAAUUCGUAGAUAUCAAGCAGAACACCUGCGGCGAAGGCGGCCUUCUGGACGAUGACUGACGCUGAGACGCGAAAGCGUGGGGAGCAAACAGG
rnacentral:rRNA from 1 species